rnacentral:rRNA from 1 species
UGGGGAAUAUUGGACAAUGGGCGCAAGCCUGAUCCAGCAAUGCCGCGUGAGUGAUGAAGGCCUUCGGGUUGUAAAGCUCUUUCGCACGCGACGAUGAUGACGGUAGCGUGAGAAGAAGCCCCGGCUAACUACGUGCCAGCAGCCGCGGUAAUACGUAGGAGGCAAGCGUUAUCCGGAAUUACUGGGCGUAAAGGGCGUCUAGGUGGCAGCCCAAGCGGGGUGUGAAAGCUCCUGGCUUAACUGGGAGAGUGCGCUCCGAACUGGGCAGCUAGAGGGCAGGCGACGGAGGUGGAAUACCCGGUGGAGUGGUGAAAUGCGUAGAGAUCGGGUGGAACACCAGUGGCGAAGGCGGCCUUCGAGCCUGUACCUGACACUGAAGCGCGAGAGCGUGGGGAGCAAA